GCGAGAGUAGCUCAGUUGGUAGAGCAUCAGCCUUCCAAGCUGAUGGCCGCGGGUUCGAAUCCCGUCUCUCGCU
rnacentral:tRNA from 1 species